UGAAUGAUGUAAAGGAGGCAG
rnacentral:miRNA from 1 species